rnacentral:rRNA from 1 species
GGAAUUAUUGGGCGUAAAGAGCUCGUAGGCGGUUUGUCGCGUCUGCCGUGAAAGUCCGGGGCUCAACUCCGGAUCUGCGGUGGGUACGGGCAGACUAGAGUGAUGUAGGGGAGACUGGAAUUCCUGGUGUAGCGGUGAAAUGCGCAGAUAUCAGGAGGAACACCGAUGGCGAAGGCAGGUCUCUGGGCAUUAACUGACGCUGAGGAGCGAAAGCAUGGGGAGCGAACAGGAUUAGAUACCCUGGUAGUCCAUGCCGUAAACGUUGGGCACUAGGUGUGGGGGACAUUCCACGUUUUCCGCGCCGUAGCUAACGCAUUAAGUGCCCCGCCUGGGGAGUACGGCCGCAAGGCUAAAACUCAAAGGAAUUGACGGGGGCCCGCACAAGCGGCGGAGCAUGCGGAUUAAUUCGAUGCAACGCGAAGAACCUUACCAAGGCUUGACAUGAACCGGUAACGUCUGGAAACAGGCGCCCCACUUGUGGUCGGUUUACAGGUGGUGCAUGGUUGUCGUCAGCUCGUGUCGUGAGAUGUUGGGUUAAGUCCCGCAACGAGCGCAACCCUCGUUCCAUGUUGCCAGCGCGUAAUGGCGGGGACUCAUGGGAGACUGCCGGGGUCAACUCGGAGGAAGGUGGGGACGACGUCAAAUCAUCAUGCCCCUUAUGUCUUGGGCUUCACGCAUGCUACAAUGGCCGGUACAAAGGGUUGCGAUACUGUGAGGUGGAGCUAAUCCCAAAAAGCCGGUCUCAGUUCGGAUUGGGGUCUGCAACUCGACCCCAUGAAGUCGGAGUCGCUAGUAAUCGCAGAUCAGCAACGCUGCGGUGAAUACGUUCCCGGGCCUUGUACACACCGCCCGUCAAGUCACGAAAGUUGGUAACACCCGAAGCCGGUGGCCUAACCCCUUGGGGAGGGAG